rnacentral:rRNA from 1 species
CCUACGGGGUGCAGCAGUAGGGAAUAUUGCUCAAUGGGGGAAACCCUGAAGCAGCAACGCCGCGUGGAGGAUGAAGGUUUUCGGAUUGUAACCUCCUUUUGUUAGAGAAGAUAAUGACGGUAUCUAACGAAUAGGCACCGGCUAACUCCGUGCCAGCAGCCGCUGUAAUACGGAGGGUGCAAGCGUUACUCGGAAUCACUGGGCGUAAAGAGCGCGUAGGCGGGUUAGCAAGUCAGAUGUGAAAUCCUAUGGGUUAACCAUAGAACUGCAUUUGAAACUAGUAUUCUAGAGUAUGGGAGAGGUAGGUGGAAUUCUUGGUGAAGGGGUAAAAUCCGUAGAGAUAAAGAGGAAUACUCAAUGCGAAGGCGACCUGCUAGAACAUAACUGACGCUGAUGCGCGAAAGCGUGGGGAGCAAACAGGAUUAGAUACCCGUGUAGUC